AAAAAAAAUUAAUAUAUAAUAUAGUAUAAAGUGCUGUGUUAUUAAUUCCCUUGUUCAAAAUAAAGUGUUUCUUAACUUUACCUGUCUGCUCUACCCCUGUAGCAGCCAGGGAUGCUUGGACUCAAAUAU